GAUGAAGAACGCAGCGAAAUGCGAUAAGUAGUGUGAAUUGCAGAAUUCAGUGAAUCAUCGAAUCUUUGAACGCACAUUGCGCCCCUUGGUAUUCCAUGGGGCAUGCCUGUUCGAGCGUCAUUGCUGCCCUCAAGCACGGCUUGUGUGUUGGGCCCCGUCCUCCGAUCCCGGGGGACGGGCCCGAAAGGCAGCGGCGGCACCGCGUCCGGUCCUCGAGCGUAUGGGGCUUUGUCACCCGCUCUGUAGGCCCGGCCGGCGCUUGCCGAUCAACCCAAAUUUUUAUCCAGGUUGACCUCGGAUCAGGUAGGGAUACCCGCUGAACUUAAGCAUAUCAAUAAGCGGAGGA
rnacentral:misc_RNA from 1 species